CAUCAUUUUUUAAGUAUUGAACCACACAAAGGAUUAAAUCUUCAUUACAAAAUCAUUCAUAACUCCAUUUAAAUCAAUGGAAACCAAAUAUGGAUAGUUUCAUGGAGUAACAACAUACUUUGGAUUUUGGACAUAAAAUACAAUACAAGUUAAUAUCGAACUUCGAACUUAUAAAGUGUUAAGCAGCAAUUACAAUAAAAGUGCUUGCUGUGGAAUCACUGGUGCUGCUCAUUAUUGUCAACUGUUACUUAAAAAGGUUAUGCCAUGCAUUAAAUUAGGAAGAUUUGUGUUGGAUGAAUUACCCAGAUAACAAUUAAAACAACUUCUAUUUAUAAGAACAUUCGAUUGGUGGAAUCCAGAUUCUGUGAAUAUAUAUUAAGUAAUUGAUUGACAAGUACACAUUUGACAAGGUGGUGAGAAACAUGUAGAUCUGGCCUGCUUACAGUGGAGUGGACAGAACCAACGUGAGAGUGAACGUGUGAAUUUAUGGAGAACAUUAAACUAUUUUACUAUAAGUCUUAACGCAACAUAUUUUAUAUGAGUUACAUACAAAUGUCAAUCCGUGAGUACAUAAUGUAAAAACUAAAACAAUGUACUGUUAUCACAACAGUAACUGUAAUCUUUUAAAAUCCAGUAGUUUUAUUGCUUAUUGAUUUUCGUAAACAAAAUAUUUCAUGUUAUAUUUCAUCAAUAAAGUUUUAUUUUAUA